GAUCCUGGCUCAGGAUGAACGCUAGCUACAGGCUUAACACAUGCAAGUCGAGGGGAAACGACAUCGAAAGCUUGCUUUUGAUGGGCGUCGACCGGCGCACGGGUGAGUAACGCGUAUCCAACCUGCCCACCACUUGGGGAUAACCUUGCGAAAGUAAGACUAAUACCCAAUGAUAUCUCUAGAAGACAUCUGAAAGAAAUUAAAGAAUUCAUCGGUGAUGGAUGGGGAGUGCGUCUGAUUAG
rnacentral:rRNA from 1 species